rnacentral:rRNA from 1 species
CCUACGGGUGGCUGCAGUGGGGAAUAUUGGACAAUGGGCGAAAGCCUGAUCCAGCCAUGCCGCGUGUGUGAAGAAGGCCUUCGGGUUGUAAAGCACUUUCAGUGGGGAAGAAAGCCUUGGGGCUAAUACCCUCGAGGAAGGACAUCACCCACAGAAGAAGCACCGGCUAACUCCGUGCCAGCAGCCGCGGUAAUACGGAGGGUGCGAGCGUUAAUCGGAAUUACUGGGCGUAAAGCGCGCGUAGGCGGUCUGAUAAGCCGGUUGUGAAAGCCCCGGGCUCAACCUGGGAACGGCAUCCGGAACUGUCAGGCUAGAGUGCAGGAGAGGAAGGUAGAAUUCCCGGUGUAGCGGUGAAAUGCGUAGAGAUCGGGAGGAAUACCAGUGGCGAAGGCGGCCUUCUGGACUGACACUGACGCUGAGGUGCGAAAGCGUGGGUAGCAAACAGGAUUAGAUACCCUUGUAUC